CUCAGGCGUAUGCAUGGGUGUCUCUGUGGGUCCUGGAGCAGCCGCAGUCGCUGUUUAUUCUGCAUGUGAUAUUGUUGAUGUGAAUGGACGUUGCUAGAUUGAGUUAUGUUUAUAUAAAGACUAUAUUAUUGCUUUUAUUAAACAUUUGGCAGUGCGCUAAUGGAGUGUUUUUGUUUUGAACUUUGCAGCUAAUAUGUAUUUUAACUACUCGCAACCGCAAAUUUAAGCAGCGACAAAACUGAAAUGUAAAAUAUCAUUUAUCAGGAUGUCCUCGAGUGAAGAUGCUGUGAUCUCUGCACGCAGCUCAUGGCUGUGCUCAUCACAGAAACAGCUGUCUGAUGUUCUCACCACAACACAAUACAACAGUCCAAGCGAUGACUGCAGGUUUGAACAUGACACGUGUGACCCUGUCUGUCUGCAGAGAGCUGAGGAGGGCUUGCCAUGUGUUGUCACACUUCUGUGCACACCUAACUCUGCUUCUGUGAUCAGCAGUCUUCAGGUCGUCAGUGAAGCCCGCACUAUUGAAGUGUACUCACUGUCUGGAGAAUACUGUGGCACCUGCCGUGGAGAGCAUGUUCAAAAAUCACACAC